rnacentral:lncRNA from 1 species
CUCAACAUAUAAAAAUAAGUAAAAUAAAGGUAUAAGAAAUACAAUAACAAAAAAAGAAUUUUAAAAGAGAAUGAUUUAAAAUUCAAACUUUAUGGUGACUGUGGAAAAGUCAAAAAAGUAUGCAAAAGCAUGCAAUGCUUCUUAAGCAGAAAAAAGUUAAUGUGUUAAAAAGUCAAAUCACAUAUAUACCACAAAUUUUCAUAUCUCUGUUUGUAUAUAAGGUAUGUUGAAAUUGCAAUACAAAAACAAGAGUACAUGUAUAAUGGCAUAAGUUGGCAUGAAUAUACUGUAUGUACAGAAAUAUGAAAAAUAGUGCUCUAUAUGUGUAAUAAGGAUUGUAAUGAAAAAUAAAUAAAAAAUAAAGUACCAAUUAAGAACAACAACAACAAAAAAAGUCAAAUCAACUAAUGCAAGCAGGAGACUGAUCUGAAAUAUGAUAGCACUGCAUCUUGGCCUCAGAGGGAAUCUGCUAAAAUAGAAGAUAUGUGUAUGAUGACAUCAGUUGUACAGUUGUCCUGGGCUGCUUCUUGGUACAAAGAUCUCCAGCUAGGAGGACCUCUUGCUGAACAGAGAAUCUAGGCAAAAAGGAAAAAGAGGAGAGAGAAAGAAAAGCAAAAGGUGGGAAGGGCUGGACAUGCUGCCCAUUUAGGAGGAAGGCCCAAAGGUGUUAAACUGCAGGGUCAGCAAGUGGGUUGGCAGGCACUAGAAUGAGUAAAUCAUUACCUAUGCACAUCAGGGCUGGAAUGAGUGUCUACAGCUGCUGUGCAGAGGGACACACCUGAUGCACUUCUUCUUUUUUUCUUUUUAUAACAAAAAAACCUUUAUUUUCAAUAUCAGGUUGUCAGCCAGAUUUAGUUCAAGGGCUAAAGUUGUUGAAUUUGGAGUAAGCAUUGCCAGGAUUCCUUUUUGUUCAGAAUUCAAUUCAAAUAGCAUUAUCUUGGGUUAAACCACCCAAUCUAAAGUAACUACGCAUUUGCUUUACUUGCUUUGAAACCUUCCCAUUUUAAUGAUCUCCAUUGCACCUAUCACCAACUGGUAUUUUCUUACUUAUUGGCUUAUCCUCACUCCUACACACACACACACACACACACACACACACACACACACACAAAACAAUAACUAACAUUUACUAAGAUCUUUUUUUCUUCUUAAUAUCUCUUUUUCAAAAUUUUUAAUUCUAAUUUGUUGUAUAAGACUCCUAUAGCACAAUAAUUAAAAUCAAGAAUCAAUAAAUGGGAUGGAUUCAAACUCAAAAGCUUCUUCUUGGCAAAAACAAAACAAAACAAAACAAAAAAACAGCAAGGUGAAUAGAGAGUCUACAUCUCGGGAGCAUAUUUUUUACCACUCGUACAUCAGAGA